GGGUUUGAUUAUGGCUCAGAUUGAACGCUGGCGGGAUGCUUUACAUGCAAGUCGGAGCAGCAGCACGGACUUCAGUCUGGUGGCGAGUGGCGAACGGGUGAGUAAUGUAUCGGAACGUGCCUGGUAGCGGGGGAUAACUACGCGAAAGCGUAGCUAAUACCCGCAUACGCCCUUCGGGGAAAGCGGGGGACCUUCCGGGCCUCGCAUAUCCCGGCAGCGAUAUCCAGUUGGCAGUUGGUGGGGUAACGGCUCACCAAGGCGACGUCGUAGCUGGUUUGAAGGACGACCAACCACACACACUGGGACUGAGACGGCCCGAACUCUACGGGAGGCAGCAGUGGGGAAUUUUGGACAAUGGGGAAACCCUGGUCCAGCCAUCCUGAUGUGCGAUGAAGGCCUUCAGGGUUGUGGCACACGGCAGGAAAGAAACGGCACGGGAUAAUACCCCGUGCAACUGACGGUACCUGCAGAAUAAGCACCGGCUAACGUGCCAGCAGCCACUUGUUAAUACGUAAGUGCAAAAGCUGGUCAAUCGGAAUUACUGGGCGUAAAGCGUGCGCAGGCGGUUCGGAAAGAAAGAUGAAAUCUGAACCUUUGGAACUGCGCAUUUUUCCCAACUGCCGAGGCUAAGAGUGUGUCAGGGGAGGUGGAAUUCCGCGUGUAGCAGUGAAAUGCACGUAGAUGUAGGAGGGAACACCGAUGGCGAAGGCAGCCUCCUGGGAUAACACUGACGCUCAUGCACGAAAGCGUGGGGAGCAAACAGGAUUAGAUACCCUGGUAGUCCACGCCCUAAACGAUGUCAACUAGCUGUUGGGGCCUUCGGGCCUUGGUGGCGCUAACGCGUGAAGUUGACCGCCUGGGAAGUACGGUCGCAAGAUUAAAACUCAAAGGAAUUGGUAGGGACGCACAAGCGUGGAUGAUGUGGAUUAAUUCGAUGCAGCGCGAAAAACCUUACCUACCCUUGACAUGUCUGGAAUCCCGAAGAGAUUUGGGAAGUGCUCGCAAGAGAACCCGGAACACAGGUCUGCAUGGCUGUCGUCAGCUCGUGUCGUGAGAUGUUGGGUUAAGUCCCGCAACGAGCGCAACCCUUGUCAUUAGUUGCUACGAAAGGGCACUCUAAUGAGACUGCCGGUGACAAACCGGAGGAAGGUGGGGAUGACGUCGAAGUCCACAUGGCCCUUAUGGGUAGGGCUACACGUCAUACAAUGGUCAGGGACAGAGGUCCUUGGCCACGAGGGGGCCAAUCCCAGAAACCCGAUCGUAGUCCGGAUCGCAGUCUGCAACUCGACUGCGUGAGAGUCGGAAUCGCUAGUAAUCGCGGAUCAGCAUGUCGCGGUGAAUACGUUCCCAGGUCUUGUUACACCGCCCGUCACCAUGGGAGUGGGUUUUACCAGAAGAAGUAGUUAGCCUAACCGUAAGGAGGGCAAUUACCACGUGAAGGAUUCAUGACUGGGGUGAAGUCAUGUCUGAGUAG
rnacentral:rRNA from 1 species